CUGCCCUAGAUAAGGGAACUGAGUUGUCACUGCUCCCCAGUGAUACUAGGUGGGGUGGCAGGAGGGCUCUUCUGAGCAGGUAACAGCCAGCAGCGGAGGAGAAAGGGUCCUGUGGUAGCUCUAUGUCUGGACUCCAGGGCCCGGCGCUCCCCUGCAGCGGCUCAUCCACAGCAGCAGAAACCACCGGGCAUCUAGAACACUCGGGGAGAACCACAGUGAGUGGCAUGUGCUUGGAUUCUCCUUGUCAUUGUUGAGAGACACUGAGCUGUGGCUGAGGGAGGAGGGGGUCCCGAGAGAGAACUUGGGGGACAAAGGAAGCCACGGAGGGGUGUCACUUGGGACAGGGAAGGGCGUUUCUGCCGAGAUGCUCAGUACCACUGGGUGUGGGGCCGCUGUGGGAUUUGAGGAAAACUGACAGUGGGGAAAACCCGGAGUUAGGCAAGCCGUGAGGUGCUGACCCUGCUCUGAGAAGAUGCCAGGAAAUUCCACGGAAGCAAUGCCAAGUCUGGGCUACAGGGGCGGCGAGGGAACGUGCUACCACCUGACUGAGGCAGGGGUGGGGUGAGAGGUCUGAGGCCAGAGAGGAAGGAGGCCGGGAAGAUUCCAGAUUUGGGAGAGUGGGAGGAAUUAGCGGGCGGGGGGCUGCAUGGGGGUGGCUUGGAAGAAAGGUGGAUGGAGAGGAGGAACGUGAACCAGCUGGAAAGUCUGUAUGAACUUCCUCCGGAUCAAGUCCCUGUACCUGUGAUUGACCUAAUUUGGGGACCAGACCUACACCGUGGUUUAGCAUUCACAGAGUUGGUUAAACGACAUCCUGUCAACGAAUGCCAGAAACGUGUCCGAGGUGAGCAUUCAUUGCAGAGCGUGGACCUGCGGAGAUGGAAAUAGAAAUGAGCACGCUAUUAAAAGAAAAGGAAAACAUAGAUAAAAGAGCUCAGACGAACAUGUGGUCAAGCAUUAAAUUUGCCUCGAAGAUGAUGUUCCUCUGCAUGGAGGGGUUUGGUGUCACUGGGAACCCCGGCAGUGAGCACUUCCCAAGAAAGGCUUGCCCCACUCACUCCCCCCCAUCCCCCAGGCUUCUGUGAGUGAGUGGGAGUUACCCAUCCCCAGAAGCCUUGCCCCCUGGGCACAGCUCUGGGACCAACAGACAUGCCUGGGCUAUUUGGAGCCACACCAGCCCUACGACCCCAGGACCUUGGUGCCUUACUGUCUGAGGCUCACUGAUCCAUCCGGGGUGAGGCAGCGAGUAGUCAAGUCAACUCUGAAACCUAAAAAAGCCCCGUGGAUGCACACACACACACACACACACACUACAUGAUUAUUUAAUGAUUAUUUCCUCUAUUUAAAGGAAAACAGCAGCCAGCAGGACCUCACGUAUGUCACAGAAUUACUUGAAAUUUGUAUUUCCCCAGGAAAAACACUAGAAAUUCAGGCUCACCCUAACUUCCUGAUAUUAGUACGGGCUUCACUUUCAGUAUUAUUUUAUUUUGGCUUGACUCCCAACAUUCUGCUUAUUCACACUCAGGCCAGGGAGCUCUUCCUUUUAUUUUAUUUUUUGUUUUGUUUUGUUUAAUUGAGAUAUAAUCGACAUAUACCAUUGUGUAAGUUGAGAGUGUACAGCGUAUUGAUUUGAUACGUUUAUAUUGCAAAAGGAUUGCCGUUGCAAGGUUAGCCAACACCUCUGUUCCCAUCACGCGACCAUCAUUUCUUCUACUAGGAGUGGGAACAAUUCAGGUCUACUCUGCCAGCAAGUUUGAGGUUUAUUAUACAAUUUUGUCGCCUCUAAUCACUGUACUGUGUGUUAGAUCUCCAAGGCCAUGGGAUUCCAGAAACUUCUAAAUUGGUAGGACGGAAUGGUUUCGAGGUCUGAAGCGGAGGCAAGAGGAGAGUUUCGUUACCAUUCCACUGGCUGGAACCAUAAUAGGGUCUCUUCGCUAUUUGUGAAACCUCACCACAUUCUGUGGCCUUGGCAUGUGGCUCACAAACCUUACUUGAGUUCUUUAUCACUGUCAUUUAACCCCGAUUUCAGUCGAAGAGAGUAAGAAACUAGAACUCUUGUUUUCCUAUACACACAGAUCACUCAUCUAUUCAAUUCAUAUUUUCCGCAAAUAUGUAUAUGGAGUGCCUGGUGUGUGCCCAGCGCCAUCCUGGGUGAACAAGGUGAACAUCAAUGAACGAGGCAGGCAAACAUCCUGAACUUCACGGAGCUUACGUGCUACAGACAAAAGCAGAAUACGGUAAAUUGUAGGGUAGUGGCAGAGACGUGCUGUAGGGAAAAAGCAGGAAAGAGGGUAGGAAGGGCCAGGGGGGUGCAAGAGUUCACAUUUUACACAGGAUGGUUCAGAGAAAGCUUGGCAACAGGUGUGCACAGGAGCGGCACAUGAUGGGGCCCGAUAACUAAUGCUCGCGAUCUCAUUUUUCCCUCGUUACUAAGGGACGUCGGAAAGCACGUGAUUCAGUGGGUUGCAUUCAUACCAUCUCGGAUCUCAGCUCCGAAUCUCAGCCUUGGGAGGGAAGGCACCUUCCAAGGGUGUUCCUUCUGGGAACUAAACUGAACUAAAAAAUGAGCCAAGCUAACACAACCUCAGAAGGGAGGCAUCUGUCUCUAGAGGCUUGAGCCCUUGGCUUGCUGGAGAAGAAUAACGCUUUGCAACACUUCAUCCCUCUCUGACCAUCUUGCCCACCACCAUCUACCUGUGGCCUGCCAAGCUCUAGCUCUCUGGAACACAUGAGACCAGGGAUCGCCAUCAUGGCCCAUCCUCCUCAACUCCUCAGGUCAUGUGCCUUCUCUGGUUCUCAUCACCAUCUCCCUCGUGCCCUCUUUGCCUUCAGCUCACUUCUCCGUGCUCCCUUUCCCCCCCCACGCUCUUCCUCUGUGCCCUCUGGAAUCUGAAGUCCGUGAGAGACACGGAAUAUUCCCAGAAUAUUCCUAACGUUUCUCAUCCCUUGGCGGUACCCCUUCCCUCUCACACCUAUCUUGGGGGUCAGGAGGUGACAUCCCUGGCCCCGGUGCAACUUGCCCACCCUUGUUCCCAGGUAUGCUUCCGGUCCCCAGUCCUGUAACUGUAUCACCCUCUGCUCCACUGUAUCCCUGCCACCGCCUGCCUGCCUGCUCCCUCCCACCCCCCACUUUUUAAACAUUAAAGCCAUGGAUAAUGAACUUCGGUCCAUCCCAAUUUCCUCCAUGUCCCCGGCGACUUAACCACCUGUGUUGACCCUCGUCCUGUACCAGCUCGUAACUUCCAUUAACUCACGAAUUUGACUUCCCUGAGGUCCGUUGACGCUGAUUCACCACCGAAGCCUUGCAGUACACUUGCUCACUUUCCUGAUUACAGCUUCCACCGCUUUGACCACCACCACCCCCGCCCGCCGUUUACUUUCUGCUCCUGCCCGUGCUCCUUCCUCGAGCCCCCCAGCCUCUGCCCGCGAGCCCCUCGGGUGGUCACAUCCCUCCUGUCUCGCUGGGAUCCAAGUCUAUCACUUAGCCACUCUCUCUGGGCAAUACCUGGCCCUCCCUUGAAGCCCCGGCCUUAGAUCGACCCUCCCCACCCGCUUCUCCUUUUCACUCCUUCUCUGAGUACGUGAGUCUGAGGAUAGCUGGUUGAAACCACCUAAGCCACAAAGAGAAGACCUAUCACUAAUUUGUGGUCUCCCAUCUCAGCUAGCUUCUAGAAAUUCCUCUAGUCUCCCUAGUCACUCUUCUGAGUGUCCCAAAUUGUCCCCUUCUCCUAUUUUCCAUCAGCUGUUCCAAGCACCCGAAACCUCUUCCUGUGCCUUCGAAUGCCCACCGCCACCGUCCACACUUACGCUCAGGAGGCGAGCCCAUCUCUGCUUUUGUCCACCCCCUGGGCUCUGGCUUCAAAUGCAUGGUGGCAUCUCCAUUCU